rnacentral:rRNA from 1 species
UACGGAAGGCAGCAGUGGGGAAUAUUGCACAAUGGGCGCAAGCCUGAUGCAGCCAUGCCGCGUGUAUGAAGAAGGCCUUCGGGUUGUAAAGUACUUUCAGUCGUGAGGAAGGUGUUAAGGUUAAUAACCUUAGCAAUUGACGUUAGCGACAGAAGAAGCACCGGCUAACUCCGUGCCAGCAGCCGCGGUAAUACGGAGGGUGCGAGCGUUAAUCGGAAUUACUGGGCGUAAAGGGCACGCAGGCGGUUAAUUAAGUUGGAUGUGAAAUCCCCCGGGCUUAACCUGGGAAUGGCAUUCAAGACUGGUUAGCUAGAGUCUUGUAGAGGGGGUAGAAUUCCAUGUGUAGCGGUGAAAUGCGUAGAGAUGUGGAGGAAUACCGGUGGCGAAGGCGGCCCCUGGACAAAGGACUGACGCUCAUGUGCGAAAAGCGUGGGGAGCAAACAGGGAUUAGAUACC